ensembl:lncRNA
GUUGGGGUUGGGGUCAGGGUUGGGGGUCAGGGAUGGGGAUGGGGUUGGGGGUGAGGGAUGGAGUUGGGGUCAGGGUUGGGGGUCAGGGAUGGGGAUGGGGUUGGGGUCAGGGUUGGGGUUGGGGUCAGGGAUGGGGUUGGGUUGGGGUUGGGGUUGGGGUUGGGAUUAGGCUCAGGUUUGGGGUUGGGAUUAGGCUCAGGGUUGGGGUUGAAUUGGGGUUGGGGUUGGGAUUAGGCUCAGGAUUGGGGUUGGGUUGGGGCUCAGGGUUGGGGUUGAAUUGGGGUUGGGGUUGGGAUUAGGCUCAGGAUUGGGGUUGGGGUUUGGGUUAGGCUCAGGGUUGGGGUUGGGCUGAGGGUCGGGAUCGGGG